UCUGAGGGUGGAUGGUUUCAUGACCAGAUACACAUCAGUGAAGAAUGCGGGAGCACUCAAACUGCAGACUGAACUGACAAAUUGUGGUUGUGCAUCUUCAACCAAUGGAAACUGUGCCACUUCUGCAAACUGUUCAAAGUGCUUCCAUCUUGCUUAUAUUCAGUUUUAGCCAGCUGUUUUUCAUCCAUAAACUGAUCUCAUCUAAGCACUAUGCCAGGGCCUGAUCCUGCUACCUUCAAACAUUUCAGACCUGGGAAAACACAGACAGAGAGACAAACAAGAGAGAGAAGAACCACUUAGCAGUAUCAAAAACAAAUUAUUUAUGUAUUUUUAUAAGCCAGCAGAACACCUUCAUUUCACAACAAAUUUGGUUUGGUAAAACCUCAUAGUCACAGCAGCUGGUUUUUCUUUAUACAGUCUACUAUAAACCCUGAGUCUUGCUAACCUGAAGUUUCAUUAUAUAGAUGGCUGUAUGUAGCAUAAAUACUAAAAAGCAGAAGAAAAAAUCACAAAACAUUAUUAUACAAUAAGGAAAGAAGACAGUUUGCUCAGAUAAAUUAAGCCUCUAUUCAGAAAUAUAACCUUGUGUAAUUUCCCCUCUCUUUUUGACACCAAAAUGCCAUUAAAUGGACCUUUGGUCUGACCCAGUAUGGCCAGUCUGACCCAGUAUGGUUCUUAUGUUCUUACUGUGAUUCUUAUGAAUAGACCUGAGCGCUGUAUGUAGUAUGAUUGCCUGUAAUUUCCUCAAUUUCUUCCAGCCCAUUCUACCUCACAGUUGACAAAACUUUAUCUUAUCAUCUUAUUAAUGUAAAAUUGUUGUAGCCAUGCAGUACAAAGUGCAGGCCACCAUUUUUUACUCAAGGAGUAAAUUCCCAUGUCUUUUUAAAAUGUUUAAAAAUGUUUUGUGUUAAAAAACAUGUGAACUUUGGAAAUGUCAAAUAUGCUUUAGAAUGCAAAUCAGGACUUGUAAAGCUAUCAACGCCUUCAAAGGACUCACACCUUAGGUGGAAUGAAUCCAAAAUUUCAGUCACCGCAAAAUAAUUUUAUCGUCAUUCUCAUUUUUUUUUAAAUAACUGUAAAAUAAAGCCAUUGGAAGCUUUUAAGGAGGCCAGGAUAGAGUGAACUGAAUAGUUUUCACACAUAAUGAAUCCAAGCAGGUGUGACAGAAUUCCAUGUCUGACAUAAAUUUAAUGCCAUUGUCCGCAUUUGAAAUGCUACAGCAACAAGCUGCAGCCAUGCCACUGUAGUGCUUCAGUGUACACACUACCUACACUGGUGGGAGAGGUUCUCCCAUCGCUGUAGGUAAUCCACAGAGC